rnacentral:pre_miRNA from 1 species
GUAGUAUUCCCUCCGUCCCAAAAUUCUUUUCUUACAUUUCUUUAGAUACAGAUGUAUCUAACACUAAAAUGUAACUAGAUACAUCCGUAUUUAGACAAAAUUAAGACAAGAAUUUUGGGACGGAGGGAGUACAAA